rnacentral:rRNA from 1 species
AUUGAACGCUGGCGGCAGGCCUAACACAUGCAAGUCGAGCGGAUGAAGGGAGCUUGCUCCUGGAUUCAGCGGCGGACGGGUGAGUAAUGCCUAGGAAUCUGCCUGGUAGUGGGGGAUAACGUCCGGAAACGGGCGCUAAUACCGCAUACGUCCUGAGGGAGAAAGUGGGGGAUCUUCGGACCUCACGCUAUCAGAUGAGCCUAGGUCGGAUUAGCUAGUUGGUGGGGUAAAGGCCUACCAAGGCGACGAUCCGUAACUGGUCUGAGAGGAUGAUCAGUCACACUGGAUCUGAGACACGGUCCAGCCUCCUACGGGAGGCAGCAGUGGGGAAUAUUGGACCAUUGGCGAGAGCCUGAUCCAGCCAUGCCGCGUGUGUGAAGAAGGUCUUCGUAUUGUAAAGCACUUUAAGUUGGGAGGAAGGGCAGUAAGUUAAUACCUUGCUGUUUUGACGUUACCAACAGAAUAAGCACCGGCUAACUUCGUG